AACGAGCGCUGGCGGCAGGCUUAACACAUGCAAGUCGAGCGCGUAGCAAUACGAGCGGCAGACGGGUGAGUAACGCGUGGGAAUCUGCCUAUCCCUACGGAACAACUCCGGGAAACUGGAGCUAAUACCGUAUACGCCCUUCGGGGGAAAGAUUUAUCGGGGAUGGAUGAGCCCGCGUUGGAUUAGCUAGUUGGUGGGGUAAUGGCCUACCAAGGCGACGAUCCAUAGCUGGUCUGAGAGGAUGAUCAGCCACACUGGGACUGAGACACGGCCCAGACUCCUACGGGAGGCAGCAGUGGGGAAUAUUGGACAAUGGGCGCAAGCCUGAUCCAGCCAUGCCGCGUGAGUGAUGAAGGCCCUAGGGUUGUAAAGCUCUUUCACCGGUGAAGAUAAUGACGGUAACCGGAGAAGAAGCCCCGGCUAACUUCGUGCCAGCAGCCGCGGUAACAC
rnacentral:rRNA from 1 species